GAAAAGCGCACAAGCUCAGAGAUGAACAGCAAAGUGUCUGGGGCCACACAGCUGGCUGGUCGUGAAGUUAUAAGAACCCUCGCCUGACCUUUGCCACUGCCUCCCAGGCUUUUCUCAGCCACCUGCCUGGAGAAGGAUAAUCAGAUGGUUCCUCAGCACCAUUCCUGAGUAACAGCAGAGCAUCGAUGGUGUGUCUCGCUUUAAGCAGAUUAAGAAGAAAAGGAACACCCCAGCAUCCUCCGAGAAGCCCCUUUUCUCUCUGGAGUGACUGGCUGCAUUCUGUAUGGGCCUAGUGAUUGCCAAAUUUCCUGUGCCCAGUUAAUAAAAG